rnacentral:pre_miRNA from 1 species
AGAAUGAUAUUGAGCCAAAGAUGACUUGCCGACUAUACCAACCAAUCUCAUGAACUGAUAUUGUUGACCGGCAAGUUGACUUUGGCUCUGUUUCGUUCUCU